GUGGUUUAGAUACCCGAGUAGUCCACGCCCUAAACGAUGUCAACUAGGUGUUGGGGAAGGAGACUUCUUUAGUACCGCAGCUAACGCGCUAAGUUGACCGCCUGGGGAGUACGGUCGCAAGAUUAAAACUCAAAGGAAUUGACGGGGACCCGCACAAGCGGUGGAUUAUGUGGAUUAAUUCGAUGCAACGCGAAAAACCUUACCUACCCUUGACAUGUCAGAAAGAUCGCAGAGAUGUGAUUGUGCCCGAAAGGGAAUCUGAACACAGGUGCUGCAUGGUUGUCGUCAACU
rnacentral:rRNA from 1 species